rnacentral:rRNA from 1 species
CCAAUAGCGUAUAUUAAAGUUGUUGCAGUUAAAAAGCUCGUAGUUGAACUUCGGGAUCAAUGGAUCGGUCAUGCCGUUGGUAUGUACUGGUCAUAUUGGUUCUCACCUUCUAAGGAACCAUAAUGUCAUUCAUUUGAUGUUUUGGGGAAUUAGGACUGUUACCUUGAAAAAAUUAGAGUGUUUAAAGCAGGCUAACGCUUGAAUACAUUAGCAUGGAAUAAUGAAAUAGGACAUCGCAUUCUAUUUUGUUGGUUUCUAGGAUCGAUGUAAUGAUUAAUAGGGAUAGUUGGGGGCAUUAGU